CUCAAUCUAGUUAUUCACAUCAAUUUUAAGCAUUAGACUGACACCAGUUUCCCAUAACGGUGACUUGUAGAUGCUAAUGUUGUUAAAGAGUAUGUAAAUAAUGAUCACAUGAUUUUAAAUCUAUUGAUCUAAAUAGUUUAUUGUAGCUUAGCUGGUCUUUGGACUUAACUUCCCGUAACCUGCAUCUGAGCAGAAGGUAGAGAAGCUGAAGAUCUGAGAACACUACGCUUUUUCUUUGUAAGAAAAAAGGCUUGGAGAGCGCCUCCCCUGUACAUUAACAACUUAUUUCGACGUGUCCACAUCUCAUCCUUCGAAUUAACGAGUCAUGUGCUCAACUUAGAUGGUCUUGAAACUCGAGCACUCCCUGUAAGGUGAACCAGAGCAGGAAACUAGAUAAGAUCAACCUGAAGACAACUUUGCUGGUCUUUGGACUUAACUUCCAGUAACCUGAAUCGGAGCAGAAGGUAGAGAAUCUGAAGAUCUGAGAACACUACGCCUUUUGUAAGGUAGUACUUAAACUGGGCAGGAUUCAUGGUGUCAGUAUAAUGAGGUCAUUAAUAGUGAGGGUACUAAAACUGGUAAUUUAUAAGCAGUGAUUGAUGUGAUCACUUCGGUUUUUGAACUGUGAAUGAAUACGAGGUAGCAAAUUCUACUUUUAUUUCGUUAUGGUUUUGUUUUCUGUUCAUUUAUUAUUCUUUCUAUUGUUUAUUUUACCUGUAACAUUUGUUUUACGUUUAAACGCUACUUCUCAUUCUAAUCAAUUACGUCAUCUUAAAGUUUCUAAAAGUUAUGAGACUGAC